AUUAUACAUAAAGGCACACAGACAGUAAAGAGAUGAAAAAGGUAUAUAAUAAAGUAUAUACAUAUAUAUAAUUAUAUAUGUAAAAAAUAUACUUUUUAUACAAAUAUACCUUAUGUACCUUAGACUGAAGAUAGAUAUAUGUAUCUACAGGCCCUGUGCAAGUCUGAAAUCCAGCCCUGCUGACUAGUGUCCUUAUAAGAAGAGAAAACUGAACACACAGACAGCCUGGAGUGCACACACACAGAAGAAAGACCAUAUGAGGACACAGUGAAGAUGGCCAUCUGCCAGCAAAUGAAAGAGGUCUCAGAAGAAACAACACUGCCAACAAUUUGAUCUUGGACUUCCAGCCUCUGAAACUGUGGCCAUUCCUGCCCAGAAAACAGACAGUUUUCAAGAGAAAAAAGGGAGAAAAAGACUACAGAAAAUUACGUUACUGGGGUUUUGAGAAACUGACCCAGUGGAAUAAAAAUGAGAAGAAAAUGUUGAAGCAAGAUAAAAGCCAGCGCCAACUCUCAACCAUGCGAGUGAAGCCAUUGUGGAUCUUCCAGCUCUCCCAGAGACCUAACCAACAACACAAGAAACAGAAUUGCCUGUCAACCCACAGAAUUCUGAAAAAUAAUAAACUGUUGUUUUAAGUCACUGAGAUAGAGGGAAGUUUGCUUUGUAUAACAGAUAACCGCAGUGAUGGAUGUCCAGAUCUCUCCCCUAGUAGUCUCUGUAUUUUACUAUGCUGUCUUCUGCUCAUUCUCCUUUCUCCUACUUCUCAUUUGUUCAGUUAACCAAUGCUUUUUAAAGCAUUUAAAAUAUUCCAGAAGCUGCCAAUUCAAAGGUUAAUAAAAACACUUCUUAUCACUCUCAUCAACCUCAUAAUCAAGAAUAGGAAAUAGACUAAAGAAUUGUCACACAUUUUGACCAAAGUACUAAUGUAACAAUGUACAGAAGAGGUAAAUAGAAGGAGUGUGUGUGUUUAUGUGUGUCUGUGCAUGUGUGUAUUUUUAAUGGUUAUAGAAUCACACAUGGGAGAGGAAGAGAAGGUAUUAUGAAGGAAGUGGUGCCUGAACAUUAUCAUAAAUUACAUACCAGUCAGAAGAAGGCAAUGGAAGAGUAAUGUAAAUUCACUAUUAUCCCUUUCUCAAAUGUAUUACUUUUGAAUUUUUGCAUCACUAACUACUCAAAUAAUACAUACAGAUGUAUGAUUAUAUUAAUGUGUACAUUUACCUUGAUUAUAUCACUAAAGUUAUCAUUCUCAAUAAAAAGAAUAUUAGAAGAUAAAAC
rnacentral:lncRNA from 1 species